UACGUAGGGUGCGAGCGUUGUCCGGAAUUACUGGGCGUAAAGAGCUCGUAGGUGGUUUGUCACGUCGUCUGUGAAAUUCCGGGGCUUAACCUCGGGCGUGCAGGCGAUACGGGCAAUACUUGAGUGCUGUAGGGGAGACUGGAAUUCCUGGUGUAGCGGUGAAAUGCGCAGAUAUCAGGAGGAACAUCGGUGGCGAAGGCGGGUCUCUGGGCAGUAACUGACGCUGAGGAGCGAAAGCAUGGGUAGCGAACAGGAUUAGAUA
rnacentral:rRNA from 1 species